rnacentral:rRNA from 1 species
UUUAAGCUUCCUACGGGAGGCUGCAGUGGGGAAUCUUGCGCAAUGGGCGAAAGCCUGACGCAGCCAUGCCGCGUGAAUGAUGAAGGUCUUAGGAUUGUAAAAUUCUUUCACCGGGGACGAUAAUGACGGUACCCGGAGAAGAAGCCCCGGCUAACUUCGUGCCAGCAGCCGCGGUAAUACGAAGGGGGCUAGCGUUGCUCGGAAUUACUGGGCGUAAAGGGAGCGUAGGCGGACAUUUAAGUCAGGGGUGAAAUCCCGGGGCUCAACCUCGGAAUUGCCUUUGAUACUGGGUGUCUUGAGUAUGAGAGAGGUGUGUGGAACUCCGAGUGUAGAGGUGAAAUUCGUAGAUAUUCGGAAGAACACCAGUGGCGAAGGCGACACACUGGCUCAU